GCGGGAGUAGUUCAAUGGUAGAACUCCUGCCUUCCAAGCAGAUCACGAGGGUUCGAUUCCCUUCUCCCGCU
rnacentral:tRNA from 1 species